AUACUUCUACUCCAUGUAAAACACAAAACACCAAACCCCUCUAUUCCUACUUCACGUAAAAACCAAAAAGGGCAAAACCCAUCUCUCUCCUUUCCUGCUUCCUCUUCCUCCCUCUGCCCAGCCGCCGACCACCACGAGCACGCCACCAAGGCCGCCAGACCACCUCGCCGCCACGUCGCUGACCACCAGCUCUCACCACCACCUUGCUCGCGCAGCCCCCGCGUCGCCACCCAGCCUGCGCCGCCGCUGCCUUGUCCCUGCUCGCCGCCACCGCAAGUAGCACCACCGUGUGCCGCCGUCUCUCAGCCCUGCCGCAAGCCACCUCUGUCCGCCAGCCAACUCUCUCUCCUCCUUCUUGAAUUGGCGGAGAAUUCUCUUUAGGCGACUUUUGAAAGUGUUAAAGUGGCCUAUCAGUUUGUUUACACAAGGUACGUACAUACCUGUGUGCUUGGAAUGUGUGCUAAUUGUUGAAACCAUGUUGAAUCUUGUUGUUGAACUUGGUUAUGUUGAUAUUAUGGACGAACUGGGUUAUAUUGAAUGUGCAUGUUUAAUACUGUUGGACAAACUUAUUGAACUUAUUUUGCACUAUGAGAACUGUAACAUGUUAGUAUGGAUGAUUGAUACAAACAUGUUGGUUGGGAACACUAGAUUAUUCUAUAUGAUUGGUUUGGAUCGAUUGGUUGUUGUUCCCUUUCUAUCUUUUCACUACUUUAUGAGGGCGGAGGACCUUGUUUAGUAAGUUGAAACUUUAUGCCCAUAUACAGGGUUGCUCAUGGUUAAAGGAAAGGUUGGAUAAAUUGGAAUGAGUCUUGAUUGAUGCUUUUAUGAUCACUUACUUAAUUCCAAGAUAAAAACAGUUGUGAACAAAUGUGAAUUGUAUGUCUUAUGUAAUGGUUGAGUCAUAACGGAAUCUCAAUUUGUAAAUCAUGUAAAGUGAAACCGAAUAGCAAUAGCUUUAGACUGUGCACGUCUGAAGUGACGGACAAACAGGAGUUGGGGUUCAUGGUGGUAGCCCAUGGCCUUUUCUGGGACCGGAUUGAU